rnacentral:sRNA from 1 species
GGUGACAAUAGUUAAUAAUACUGUAUAGCAUAUUUGAAAUUUGCUAAGAAAGUAGGUUUUAAGUGUUCUCACCACACACAAAAAAAGCCAGGACCAGCCUUGGAGUUAAGCAGAGUGAACAGAAAUUUAUGGUCUCAGAUUUAAGAAAAACAAGAUUCUUUCUUGCUUCUUAAAUCAUACUCCAUCCCAUUGGCUUGCAAACAUGCUGACACUCCUCAUAAUUUCACUCUUCAUAAACCAAAGCAUAAGGUCAGAGGAGAACUUGACAUAUUAGAACACUUAGGCAUUGAAAGUGGUUAGUCUAACCAACCCAUUAAAGUUUUGGAGAACCUGGGACUCAAAUUUUGGAAGAUGUGACAGAUGAUAUGUUAAAAUACAUUGCACCGAGGCUGAAGUGGGAGGAUUGCUUGAGACUGCCUGGAAGGCAGAGGUUGCAGUAAGCCGAGACUGAUGGUGCCACUGCCCUCCAGCCUGGGCAACAGAGCAAGACCUUGUCUUAAAAAAACAAAACAGACAAACAAACGAAA